UAGGACAGCCAUACCACCCUGAAUGUUCCUGACCUUGUCUGAUCUCAGAAGCUAAGCAAGCUUGGGCUCAGUUAGUACUUGGAUGGGAGACCGCCUGGAAAUACUGAGUGCUGUAAGCU
rnacentral:rRNA from 1 species